CACGCGCAGGGUCGUGGGGUACCGCCGGGGGAUCCCUGGCUGCUGCGGAGCCGGCUCGGGCUGCUUCCUAACUCCACCGUCUGCCCCUUUCGCUCUGCGCCGGCUGGAGCGUGGGGUCGCAGCGGCGAAAGCGACUGAAGUCCCGGCGCAGCCGCGAACUUCCACACUGUUUUCCAAAGCAGCGGCACCAUUUCCUAUUCCCACUGUUUGUAUGCUAGUGCCUCUUUUAAGUAUUCAGACUGUCAAAUCUGUCACCUUUUUUGGGGGAACACAUGUAAGGAUGGAGAGUCUCCCCCCACCCCACUGGAGGUAACAAAGGAUCAAGGUGCUCUCUCUGAAAUUCUAGCUGCAGAAUUUAAACUGAUGCUGCUGCUGCUGGCAUUUCCCUUGGGAUUUUACUGCUUUAUUAGAAUGUAUCAGUGUUCCCAACUUCAGAUUACUAGAUUGCAUUUCUCAUCCUGCAAAGCUGAAGACCAGGUCAUGAAAAAUCAGAGAAAAUCCAUCAAGUAGGGUUGGUGUCCUUAUAAGAAGAGGAAGAAACACCAGGAAUGUGCUUGCAUAGAUAAAAGGCCAUGUGAGGACACAGCGAGAAGUCGACCAUCUGCAAACCAAGGAGAAAGGCCUCACCAGAAACCGACCCUGCUGACACCUUGAUCUUGGACUUCUAGCCUACAGAACUGCUCAGCUCAAGGACCACCCCUUCCAAGAUGUCUUCCUGGAGUUCCUCAGCCAAAAGUAAUACCUCUCUUUCCUGGUCCCAGCCCAUGUGUCGCCUGUUCCCCAGAGCCUUCUUUGAGCCCUCUCUCAGCACCGUUGCAUUUUUCUUCUGAAAAUGCUCUCUGCUCUCUCUGCUUCCACCAUCUUGUAAUGUGAGACUUCUGGCUCAUUAUUACCACCAUCAGAUGUGUUCCUUGGACUUUGGACAUCCCAGCCUCCAAAACUGCAAGCCUCCCGUGAAGUCCUACUUGUAAAAGCAACUCAACUGCCAAGUAUUGAAGACUGCCAGUUUCUGCUAGGGGAGGGAUUCAGUCUCAAGUAGCAAGAUUUAUCCCGGAACUGAGGGCAAUAGGACAGUCCAUGUACACUGCAUCCAGGCGGUUUGGUGGAUUUUCUCCUUUUCUCAUGGUCUUAAAAAGAAUAUGGUCAGAGAGAACAACAAAUGCUGGCCAGGAUUCAGAGAAAAGGGAACCUCCUACACUGUUGGUGGGACUGUAAAUUGGUGCAGCCAUUAUGGAAAACAGUAUGGAGAUUCCUCAAACAACUGCAGAUAGAACUGUCAUAUGAUCCAGCAAUCCUACUACUUGGUGUGUACCCACAGGAAUGGAAAUCAUCAUGUUGAAGGCAUACCUGCACUCCCAUGUUUAUCAUAGCUCUAUUUAGAAUAGCCAAUAGUUGGAACCAACCUAAAUGUCCAUCAACAGAUGACUGGAUAAAUGUGGUUAUAUACACAAUGGAAUACUACUCAGCCAUAAAAAAGAAUGAAAUUCUGCCAUUCGCAGCAACAUGGAUGAGCUUGGAAAAAAUUAUGUUAAGAGAAAUAAGCCAGGCACAGAAAGAAAAAUACCACAUGUCUUCAUAAGUCGGAGCUAAAAAAGAAAGAAAGAUACAGCAAUCACAAUAAUUCAUUGAACUUUCAAAAGGAGACAACUGAACUGAGGUCACCAGAGGUGGGAAAGGGGGAAGGGGUAUGAGGAAGGAAUUGGUAAAUCAAUUACAUUGUAUAAUGUUGAAUAUACUAAUUAUCCUGAUUUGAGCAUCAUGUAUUGCACACAGGUAUUGACAUUCAACUCU